rnacentral:lncRNA from 1 species
CUGGAUUAUGAUAAUAAUAAGCUGUCUCUUGAUGCCAACAGAAUAGAGAGGCUGUAUUUCAGAACCUGAAAGUUUCCAGGCCUACUGCUGUAAAAGGAUUUCUCUCUUAGAAAGAGGAGUUUCUUUAUUUUAACAUACUUUCCUUUAGGAGUAAAAUUACUUGUGUAAGUGUGGCAGUGGUAACUAGAGGAAAAUCACAACAGAUUUUGAAGCUCUCUAAAGAGGAGAAUCAUUUAGGAGCUGCCCUUUUUGGGUAGAAAUGAGGAGAAGAAGAGUGAAAAGUGAUGGGGAAGAAAAGCUCUGUUAGUUUCACCAUGCUGGUUCUUUAGGUUUCUGAGCUGGUGAAUAAGGGCAGUGUCUGUAUUUUCAUCUGAGUAGUUGUGCAAAAAGCUCGUUGUCUUUUUUUCCACCAGAGGUUAAUAGUGAAGUCUGACCUCUUCCAUAGAUCCCUCUGAGACACCCCUACCUACCAGAGCCGAGCCAUUCAGGCUGUCCUCACAACCUGAGCCAUUUUAUCAUUUUGCAUGCAGUGUGUCUCAAGCUGUGAAGUUAUUUGUUGAACUAGGCCAUGCUACUGUUUGACUGAGAGGAAGACAAAUUGUCCAUAUUAUUCCAUAUUACCCUUAAUUUCCAUAUAAUUGUCUUAAUCUUUGUUUUGUAAUAAAUGCAUGAAAGUGUCCUGAGGGUACCUUUUUGUUUGCUGUUGUAGGUGUCUCAUUUAGAGUCCAAGCAAGAUGGAAAUGUUCAGGGCUGCUCUUUCUUCCUCUCACCUGAAUGGUUCACAAGACACACUCUAAAACUAAGAUAUCAGUCAUUCUCACGUCAGAACUCUAUUCCCAAUACCUGAUGUAUUACUUCAUCAGCAAAUUCAACAAGGCCAAGAUGUCUUCAUUUUCCUUCAGAGCAAGAGCUGUAAGAGCAGUGUGGUGGAAGUAUUGGUCUUCUGUGGCCAGGCGGUUGAGAGCCCAUCGACAGCUGUGAUGAGCAGAGCAGACACGGGAGACAGGAGGCAGCUGAAGCCAAAGAGGACCCACGCCUGGAGCUGUGUCUGUGUGAUUGGAGCAGAGAGAGGCCAGGACCCAAGGAAAUCCCAGCAGCAAGGGAAAAAAACAGAUUGACUCUCAGUGACUCAUUUAGCUCCUGGAUUGGACAGAUCUCUCCCCUGCUGGCAAUUUGGCUGAGCAUCAAUGGACAGAUACCAGGAUGAAUAGCUUAAAAUAAUUAGGGGCUGGGAAUUUGCAAAACUGCUAGCCAUCCAAUUCUUUACUGUGCAAUGUGAGGCAGAAAAAAGAAAUUACAUUUAGGUUAUUAAAUAUUAAGUCAGUGGAUUUACUUCCAUUUGGUGCAGAACAGGAAACUGGCUAAAAUUCAACAUUUAUAUCAUUGUGUUGAUGGUCUGUUUAUCACUGAGCAAGUAAGUGCUUUUUGGCAGGUCAAGCUCUUUGACACAUGGGGCAAAUGCGUGCUUAAUUUCUCCCAAACAGAAGAAUUAAUAUAAUAAUAAUUAACACAGAUGAGAACAGAAUUAAAAUCAAGUACAGUCAGGAGUUUAGUUUAAUGCCAGGUGUCUCACAUUCUAGAUGUUCUGGGGCCAGAUUUUUCCUGUUGAAGGUAGCAAGGGUUUUGCCUUUGGCACUUCUGGGAGCUGAAGUGCGCCUUGCACGUAAAGAGACAGGAUUCCCUGUACUUUCUAUUCAAUGCACAAAACCAGAAGCAACAGGCUCAUUUAGUAUCAGUAAAGGUCAGUUAAAAUUAUAGAGACAUCCUUUGGAGCAAAUCCUCUGUCUUGCAUUUGCAUAUUUAUGAAUUAGAGAUUACGACAGGCUAUUUCAUUUAUUAGAGCAGCACUGCUAUAGUUAAUAGUCUGUCAGUACUUCCAUUAUAAACCCCGUUUUUCAGUGUUUAAUAUCUCAGCCAUUUAAAAUCACAUCAGGAAGCAAGUCAGUCUUAUGUUGCUGGCCAGGUGCAAUUUUUUGUUAUG